CAUCAAUGGGACUAAGUCCUCUGGUCACAAUUCCACACAUCUGAUGCCUGGUAGAAUUUUCCACAUGCUAGUUUCUGGCUCCUACCAUUUCAAAACUUGUCCUGUCACGGCUCACAUCCCACUGGUGCUUGGCACACCGGGACACAUUCAUUCAUAAUACAAUCUCUGGCCCUGCACCUUCCUGACAUGAUGCCAUGCCUCCAAGACCACAGGAUAUGCAGAACCUCAAACUUGCCUCAGAAAUCUAAGAUUUCGAAGACCCUGACGGCCAAAGACUUCAUUCCUAUGACCUUACACUCAAUGUAGAGCCGGUGGAUGACAUAAUCUUAUGCACAGUUUCACUCAACUUCCUGUGACCGGAUGAGGAGGACAGUGGGAUGACGCCACAGUCAGACUGCUGGAUUGGAAUCCUCCCUCCACUACUGGCUGGAACCACAGGCAAAUGACUAAACCUGGAAAUGCCCAUUUCAUAAAUUGGUUGUGAAGAUUAAAAAAAAUGCACAUAAAGCUCUUAGCACAGUAUCUGCCACAUGAAAAGUCCUCCUGGAUGUCAUUUACUGUCACUGUUAGCAUCCCCGUUUAACAGACAUAAAGCACAAAAUGCU